UCAGCAUGCUGUGGUGAAUACGUUCCCGGGCCUUGUACACACCGCCCGUCACACCAUGGGAGUCGGUAACACCCAAAGUUGGUAGUCUAACCGCAAGGAGGACGCCGCCUAAGGUGGGAUUGAUGACUGGGGUGAAGUCGUAACAAGGUAAC
rnacentral:rRNA from 1 species